rnacentral:rRNA from 5 species
AGACCCGAAACCCGGUGAUCUAGCCAUGGGCAGGUUGAAGGUUGGGUAACACUAACUGGAGGACCGAACCGACUAAUGUUGAAAAAUUAGCGGAUGACCUGUGGCUGGGGGUGAAAGGCCAAUCAAACCGGGAGAUAGCUGGUUCUCCCCGAAAGCUAUUUAGGUAGCGCCUCGUGAAUUCAUCUCCGGGGGUAGAGCACUGUUUCGGCUAGGGGGCCAUCCCGGCUUACCAACCCGAUGCAAACUGCGAAUACCGGAGAAUGUUAUCACGGGAGACACACGGCGGGUGCUAACGUCCGUCGUGAAGAGGGAAACAACCCAGACCGCCAGCUAAGGUCCCAAAGUCAUGGUUAAGUGGGAAACGAUGUGGGAAGGCCCAGACAGCCAGGAUGUUGGCUUAGAAGCAGCCAUCAUUUAAAGAAAGCGUAAUAGCUCACUGGUCGAGUCGGCCUGCGCGGAAGAUGUAACGGGGCUAAACCAUGCACCGAAGCUGCGGCAGCGACACUAUGUGUUGUUGGGUAGGGGAGCGUUCUGUAAGCCUGUGAAGGUGUGUCGUGAGGC